ensembl:lncRNA
CAUCAUCAAUCCUGAGUUGUAAUUUCUGUUUCAUGAGGACUUUUUUUGCUUCUGUCUUCACAGAUUCUAUGGACAUUUGGACUAUAUAGAUGUCAGCAUUUCAUUUAAAGCAGCAUCUGCAGUGAUUCACAAGCGGUGGAGAAGGAAGCAGCAGCUGAAGUGCGUUAGGGUUUCCUGCAGGAGAGAGGAGGGAUGGUGGCAUUGUCAUCACAGCAGGCAUUGUUGUUUGGCAGGUCCACCACCAAUGCAGUGACAGCUGUGGAUUACCUGAAACAGAACAGAGACCAAAGAACUACAGACUCUUCACAACCUGCUCAAACUCUUGGUACAGGACCUCACCACACGGGUCAAGAAGGUUGCUUUGUAGAACUGUUCCAGAAAACCUCACUAAACCACAUGGAGGGGCCUCAAGAUAGUCGUCCAAAUGAAACCAUACAAAAACCAAACAAGCACAACCCAAACACUAAAGUCUCCUGCAGCCUACCAGAGAACCUCUGAGAACAGAGAAUCAGGACAGGAACUCUUACCUUCUGGACAACCAACGCUGGUUCUCAAACAAGAAUACAGAAUGUGUCUGACCAAAAACCUCUGAAGACUCACUACAGCCAAGAUAAAGACACAACUCAGCUGCACCAAAUCCACUAAUCACUGCACACAUUAGCACCAUGUGCUAACUGUGGCUAAAGAACCACAUUUACCAAGACAACGAUCCAGUACAAAGCCCUAAAACACACCAAGAAACACAUUAAAGAUGAUUUUACUGCUGGAAGCUGCAAGCCAACGCCUAAAGAACAAACUAAAGCAAUGGAGCCAAACCCGGUUCAGUUGGUGAACAGAAGCAGAGGAAAUGUUUGUCUGCAGCUAAACAAAGCAGGAAGACAGUGAGCUGCUCAGGUGUUCCUGAUAACACCAAGCAGCCACCUGGAAAGCCAAUAGGAAGACAGCUUACUGGAAGUCCAGAGGGCUGGCUUAGUGAAGGAAAUUUAAAGUUGAAGCAGAAAGUUAACAAAGAAAGUUGAAAACCACCUUCUGAUCCCUGAAAUAUCUGAGUUUUCACACAAAGAACGCCUGAACAUGUCAUGUUAUUUUAGAAAACGAAUCAACUUAGAGGCAUUUGUUCACACGUGGCUGAAUAGGAGGCCGUCCAAUCAGAUUGGAGGUCUUCACUCUGUAGGUUGUUUGUUGGGUGAGACUCUUGGACCUCCAUCAGCUGACGUGGAUGUUUGAUGGUCUUCCUCUCUCGUGCCAGAUGAUUCAUCCAUGAAUUCAGCAGCUACAGACUGAAAUGAAGCUCAUGCUGCCGUUAUUGAAUUCCUGUUCCAGAUCAAAUGUUCAGAGCUCACCUUGAAUGCAGCCGUCUGCUAUCUGAUAGUUUUUCUCAUUGUAGUCUUCAAUAAAGUCUUUUUCCUCAUGUCAGGAUGUGGUGAGACUCUUUCUCAGUCUCUGCAGACGUCCCUCAUUGUGCAUCUCCAGAGAAGAAACAGAAAAACUGAUCACUGCUUCAGCAUCAAACGCUCUCCAGCACUGAGAGUGUUUUAGGAAUUCAUUCAUUGUGUUGUGAACUUUGAAGGAGCAGAAACUUUACAGCUGCCAAAGAUAUGAGCUCCAAUUCUGAUGUUUUAGGAAAUGAAGUUCAUCAAAUGAACACUUGAUUUUUGCUGAUAACUCUCAUUAAAUUACUGAAGAAAUCCAACAUAAAAACUUGUAAACUAUCAGGCAGCUUUUGUUAAAGUUUGUCUAUAAUUCUAUCAUCAUGUUCUGGAACCAGGACUCUGCAGAAGUUCCUUCAAUCAGAUACUUGUGUGUUUCUCUAUUUAAGGCCUCAGGUUUGAACGUACAGCAGAGGAUUAGAAAGGAGUGAUUUUAAUAUUUAAAUCAGUCCAGUAAAUGUUUGGAGUAAAAAUGAUAAAAUUUUUGAUUUAGAUAGAUUUGUGUCAAAUAAUAAUGUAGAGUCUCACUUAAAUGUCAGCUAAGGUAAAACUAUCCUUUUAACGUACGCUUUGAACAGAUUAAAUGCACGAACCAAAAGGAAAUACAUAUGACAAUGUGCAUUUCAGUUUCUUGCUUUAAUUUGUUUUUAUCUAGGCAUUUCAAAUCCUCUACAGUUGUGCCAGUUUUGGUUUGCUUCUCAAAAGCAUGUUAAUCCUCAGGUGACGCGUCUUUGUCCCACUGCAGGUCGCUGGUCGAAGCAGUUCGUAGAGUCGGGAUGCUUGGAGGAAAAUGAGCUUCGCCGGCUUUCACAUGGAGAUGUUGCUGUAGAUGCUGCUGUAGAGCUGAUCGAUCUUCGCCUUGAAGAAUUCCUGUUUUUGCGCCAAAAUUCAUGAUGAUUUUUUUUCCAAAGAAAACCUUUCUGGAGUGUUUUUCACAGCCUCCUUUACAUUAUUUCAUCAUAUGGCACGUUUUUACAACAUGUUGAAAAAUCGUAUUUUUUUCCGACAUAGUAUAUUAUGUCGACAAAAAAAUGUGUUCUAAUGCUACAUUGUGUUAGCUAAUUCUGUUGAGAGGCUAAUUGAUGAUUAGAAAACCAUUGUGCAAUUAUGUUAGCACAUGCAUAAAAGUAUGAGUUUUCAGUUAGCUAACACAAUGUAGCAUUAGAACACAGGAGUGAUGGUUGCUGGAAAUGUUCCUCUGUACCUCUAUGGAGAUAUUCCAUUAAAAAUCAGCUGUUUUCAGCUAGAAUAGUCAUUUACCACAUUAACAAUGUCUAGACUGUAUUUAUCAUUCAUUUCAUGUUAUCUUAACUGAAAAAAAUGCUUUUCUUUCAAAAAAAUCAGGACAAUUCUAAGUGACCCCAAACUUUUGAACAGUAGUCUAUAUGUAAUGGGUGAAAAGGUGUCAAACGACUGAUUACCUACCUUUAAGUGAGAAGCUCCGUUUGGGGAAGUAAAUUAAAUGUACUCAUUCAGUCCCUGAGGCAAACUUUAACUGUAGUUUCACAUCUGCAGAAAAACGGACUCAUUCUGACUUCAGAUCAGGAAACAGACUCAAACAGCACGUAGUCGGUCAGAGGCUGAAAAUUAACUUCCAGUCAGAGACAUCUGGAAAAAAAGACGAGGCUCAACAUAAUUAUUCUGCUUUAUGUAGUUGGAUUUAAACAACACAUUUAAGAAACCAAGUUUUAUUAUUCCAAAGGGGCACUUUAUACAAUAUCAAGGUAGGAAUUAAAUAUGGAAUCAAAUUGAUGAAACAAAGCAGGCAGUGUACGAGACCAUUGCAGCUUGCAUAAGAACACUUCAGCCUCGUCUCCGUUGGCAGCAGAGCUCAGCUGAGGUUCGUCUGACCUCCAGAACGACCACUACGAUGCUGAAGUCUGGCCAGUGGAGACGAGGCGUUUGACAAAACCCACAUGAAAUCCUGAGGAGAGUCAGAUUUCAUGUGCAAAUAUAUUAUCACAACUCGCAGCUCGAAAAAUAGAACAAUCUUUCUUAUUACAAUGAUAAGGGACAUUAUAAAGAAAUCUUUCUCCAAAAUAGAACCCAGUAGAUGCUGACAUGUGGUAACGCUAUAUACAUCUUCCUUCUGCUUCAAAUAAAAUACAUCUUCGCCAAAGCAACGUUAAAUAUAUUAUUGUUUGAAGUAUUUUACAGGCAGGAAAGUACCUUUUUAUGUUCCCAGAUAAACUGAGCGAUAGGUAGAGUGCAUCAGAGAGAGGAAAGUGAACUCAAACAGAAGCGAUUAAGAGUUUUUAGAGCCGAUUGUUUAGUUUGAGUGAUGGAUUUGUUGAUCUACCUCCCUCUUACAGCUGCUGUGGAGUAAAUAUGCAAAGAUUAACUUGAUACAAAUGAAAGUUUUGGCAUGGCUUUGAUAAAACUCUUUAAAAAAUGUUAGGAAUAAUUAUAUUCUGUUUACAAUCAGUUACACACAUGGGUGACAAAUGAACGCUCGCUGACAUGACUGGUCUAUUAUUUUCUGUAUCUAUAGAUCUAUCAUCGCAAUUAAAGGAAAGUUCGUAGCAAAUAAUUUAAGUCAACAAAACACGUCUUAAAACACACAUGCAGAAAAGGCAUUUUGUUGUGGAAAUAUUGCUUCUAUUAUCCUAAGAUGUAAACAUUAGAGCAUCAUGUGACUGUAUUUAAAUAAUACAGUCCAUCAGUGCAAACAUUCUCCAGACCAAAAGUAACAAAAGAUUAAAUGUUAUUUCUCAGUUGUAAUACAAGUACCACA